UACGUAGGUGGCAAGCGUUGUCCGGAUUUACUGGGCGUAAAGGGAGCGUAGGCGGAUACUUAAGUGGGAUGUGAAAUACCUGGGCUUAACUUGGGUGCUGCAUUCCAAACUGGGUGUCUAGAGUGUUGGAGAGGAAAGUGGAAUUCCUAGUGUAGCGGUGAAAUGCGUAGAGAUUAGGAAGAACACCAGUGGCGAAGGCGACUUUCUGGACAAUAACUGACGCUGAGGCUCGAAAGCGUGGGGAGCAAACAGGAUUAGAUACCCUGGUAGUCCACGCCGUAAACGAUUGAUACUAGGUUGAGGAGGGAUCGACUCCUCCUGUGCCGCCGUUAACACAAUAAGUACCCCGCCUGGGGAGUACGGUCGCAAGAUUAAA
rnacentral:rRNA from 1 species